rnacentral:rRNA from 1 species
CCUACGGGAGGCAGCAGUGAGGAAUAUUGGUCAAUGGGAGAGAUCCUGAACCAGCCAAGCCGCGUGAGGGAAGACGGCACUAUGGGUUGUAAACCUCUAUUGUCGGAGAACAAAACACGGGACGUGUCCCGGACUGCGUGUAUCCGAAGAAAAAGCAGCGGCUAACUACGUGCCAGCAGCCGCGGUAAUACGGAGGAUGCGAGCGUUAUCCGGAUUUAUUGGGUUUAAAGGGUGUGUAGGCGGUCCGUUAAGACAGCGGUAAAAUUGCGGGGCUCAACCCCGUCGAGCCGUUGCAACUGGCAGACUUGAGUUGGCGAGAAGUACGCGGAAUGCGCGGUGUAGCGGUGAAAUGCAUAGAGAUCGCGCAGAACUCCGAUUGCGAAGGCAGCGUACCGGCGCCAGA